UAAGGACUUCAGAAAGACUAUCGCUUUUUGUUUUCUGAACUUAGGGCUAUGUCGGCACUGCUGUUUCAGGGUGGGGUCAUUUUCAGGACUUUCGUCCCGGAUUCAGCUUUUGGCACAUAUGCCAUGUUGACCGCCAUGGUCAUUUUAUCCUAAAACAGUUGAGAUUACCUGUGGUAAAUGAAACUCAUACAAACUCAUAUACAGGUCCUAGACUAGUGAAGAUAAUUCGUGGUAUUUUAUCAACGUAUGAAUUUAAUACAGUCUUAGAAGUUGAAGACAUGGUCAUGGGUUUUAUGUUUAGGAAGAGUUCUGCUGAACUCAGUUUGAAGUUGCACUUGAUACGUUGUAUCAAGAUGUGAAAUUAUGUGAUUUAGCGUUGUAAACUGAGCGAGGGCAAUGACUAAAUUAUUCGUAUAUUGUAAUUAUUCAAUUCUUUUCAAUAAUGUAUUGUAUUCGUAGCCGUUGCCGUCCUAAAUCGUAAGGUCUCUAAUAAACCCGUCUUGACGACAAGUGGUAUUAUAUUUCCCUAUUUUUCUCUCAAAUGUAUAGAUCCUUUCACUUGGACGUGAUUCAAUUCUUGUUCUGAAAUGAAUAGAUCGGACCAACAGUAAGAAUAUCAGUAUUAUUUUUUCAUGUUUAUUAUAGGCCUAAUUCCGAAUACUCUUUGUUCCUGCCAGUGAGCUGCAUGUAUAUCUGGAGCGAGAGAUCAAGUCCAAAACGUGAAGCAAAAGAUGGAGUAUUGGACGUUUAGUCCCUUUCUAUUAUUUUUGACUACGCGGUCUGCAAGGAGUGUCCCUAAAUUUCUCAUUUUCACAUAGAUUUAAGGUUUUAUGCACCGAUCACUUGGAAUUAAAAACAGGAGUUAACUGAAAACAUUGGUAUUACAACUGUUUAAUUAAUAGUUAUUAAAAACGUCAAUGGCCGGCAUCUUGGCUUCACUUUUCUCGUAGGCCGAAUAACUGACGUUCUUGCUCCAGAUACAGGUUGUAUAAAAAAAAAGGUAAUCGAACUUCAGCGCGCUACUGUACCUGAAUUACUCUGCGUAUUCAUAAACGAGAUUUUUUCGUAUUCGGAAAGAUCAGGCUUUUAGCUGUUAACGUUGAAUGAUAUGUUAUUAUUAUUAUCAUUAUUAUUAUCAUCAAUCAGUGCACUGAGUGUUUUUGAAAAAGAAUCUUCAGCUUUUAUACAAAUGUUGGAACAUUUGAACUCAGAUAAGGCCGGUGUUAAAUAUAUAAUUAGGAAAAUCAUUAAUAUUGCACUAAGAACGACAUAUUACGUUUUCUGUUCUAGAAACAAGGACUGGUCGAAUCCAGACUUAAUGUACUUCUAGCUAGUCUCUUGCUUUUUGUAUCAUAGAAUUAUGUCCAUGUGUAGUGUAAUAAUGUAUAGUGUAUCAAGUAGCCAAUUGUAAAUUACCUUUAACAGUGAGAUUUGCAAUUGUAAGUGCAUAAAUUCAAUAAAG